UUCAGAGCUGGGGGAUGGGUAGGUUAAAAAACAUUGCUCCCUGUCAGGGACCUGAAAGAGGACGCGCACAUAAAUCACCCAGCAUGCACCUGUCCAAAGAAUCAACCACCGAGUCCUGUGUCAUCUCGUUUAGGAUCACGCUGCUGCUGAGGCUCCCCUUCAUCUUUGAAUCAAUGUGCCAGGGGGCGCUCCUGGUAGAAGACAGAAGAUGAAAAUUACUUUUCCAUGGUUUCCCAUUGUGCCUCCACAGCAGCCUGUUUACAUGCACUUCAAUACUAUUCUGAUGAAGAUCGUAAACUAUUGGACUCAAACUGGUUACACCCAGCAGAGCUCUUUCCUUCAUUUCCCUCUUUAUAUGCUAAUAUAUGGCUGCUAUGCUGUGAGAUAAUUGCUUUUUUUAUAGCAAAGUGUUUCUGUCAGGAUCAUAAAACAGUUCAUAAAUACAGUUUGAGCCCUGUAAAAUACAGA